rnacentral:rRNA from 1 species
UACGGAGGGUGCAAGCGUUGUUCGGAAUUACUGGGCGUAAAGGGCUCGUAGGCGGCCAACUAAGUCAGACGUGAAAUCCCUCAGCUUAACCGGGGAACUGCGUCUGAGACUGGAAGGCUUGAAUUCGGGAGAGGGAUGUGGAAUUCCAGGUGUAGCGGUGAAAUGCGUAGAUAUCUGGAGGAACACCGGUGGCGAAGGCGGCAUCCUGGACCGAUAUUGACGCUGAUGCGCGAAAGCGUGGGGAGCGAUCCGG